rnacentral:rRNA from 1 species
CCUACGGGUGGCAGCAGUGGGGAAUAUUGCGCAAUGGGCGAAAGCCUGACGCAGCGACGCCGCGUGAGGGAUGAAGGUCUUCGGAUCGUAAACCUCUGUCAGCAGGGAAGAAAGGUCACUGUGCUAAUCAGCAGUGAAUUGACGGUAACUGCAAAGGAAGCACCGGCUAACUCCGUGCCAGCAGCCGCGGUAAUACGGAGGGUGCGAGCGUUAAUCGGAAUUAUUGGGCGUAAAGCGCUCGUAGGCGGUAUGUCAAGUCAAGGGUGAAAUCCCCGCGCUCAACGGUGGAACUGCCUUUGAAACUGGCAAACUGGAGUGUGUGAGAGGAGAGUGGAAUUCCAGGUGUAGGAGUGAAAUCCGUAGAUAUCUGGAGGAACAACAGUGGCGAAGGCGACUAUCUGGCACAUAACUGACGCUGAGGAGCGAAAGCGUGGGUAGCAAACAGGAUUAGAUACCCGUGUAGUC